rnacentral:lncRNA from 1 species
GUGAUGUUAACACUGUCCCUUAGCGGCUUAAUAACUUUAGCCUGGCUCCAGUUUACCAUAAAUCUUGCUCGUAGCUUUUCAUAGCCAAGGCAGUGCUUGUUCUUCCCUUAGAAAUGUCCAGUUUAUGUUCUUCUAUUCUCUUUUUUAAGUUUCGUUUUGUGCUGCCGAUGUACCACUGUGUGCGUUUUUCGUCGUUGUUAUAUAAGGGAAUGGCAUAUAUUCCAGCUUUUCUAUCACCUGGUAUACGGUCCUUGUCAUUUCUCAUCAGAUCAAAUACCGUGUGGCCUCUUUUUCUGACCACUACACACUGCUCG